CUGAAGUACACAGCAUUUUGCAAUAUUUAGUGGUAUUUGCCACUUCUCGCUCCAUUGGAAGAUUAAAUUAAGUUGGUCUUGCAAGUCCGUGACAAGUGGGUUAGCAAAUAACUUAAUAUCAUCCGCAUAUGCUGAAUAGCUGUCCAGUGAAAACAAUAAAUCUGCUGUAUAUAACAAGAAUAAAAUUGGUCCAAGAACUGAUCCCUGUGGGACCCCACUUAAUACUGGUUUAGAGUACGAAAAUUUACCACAGACUUUUACACAAUAGUUUCGAUUUGAUAGAAACGCUCGGAUCCAAUCAAGCAAAUUUCCUGUUACACCAUAGGACUCCAGUUUUGCUAACAAGAGAUUGUGAGGGACUUUAUCAAAGGCUUUACUAAAAUCAAGAAAAAUUAUGUCUACAGGUUGGUUAGUGUCUAACAUUUUUGUCCAUAGAUUUGUGCAGGAUAGCAAAUUUGUGACAACUGACCUACCUGGUAAAAAGCCGUGCUGAUGCUCAGCAUGUCGACGUGAGACUUACAGGUCUAUAGUUAGCAGGAUCAAGUUUAUCUCCUGACUUGUACAAAGGCGUGAUUGUUGCUUGCAACCACUCGUAGGGCAAAGUGCCUUGUAAGAAUGAUUUUGUCAUCAUUUUGGCAAGUGGGCCCGACAACGAAGCAGCACAAGUUCUCAGGAGUUUGGGAGGUAUCUGAUCCGGACCUGGAGCUGUAUUUAAUUUAAUGGCACAGAGUUGGCUUUUUACCAGAUCCGGAGUAAAAUUAAUAUAAGACAACCCACUAAAUGUAGCAGCAAAACUGUCCGCUAAAGUGUUUGCAGUUUCUGUAUGAUCGGAGCAGAGUAGACCUGAAGCAUUUCGUACUAAAGGGACCGACACACGACUAGAGAUAAAUUUACGUACAUGGGAAUAAAAUAGUUUUGGUUUAUUUAAUAUAGAAUUUUCAUAAUUACACCUGGCUAUUUGUAAAUCAGAUUUUAGUUGGUUAGAAAAUCUUUUAUAAGCAGAAAAAUUAUCUUCAGUAGGCUUCCUUUUAAAUUUUUUCCAUAAUUUAGCUUUGUAUUUUAUUUUGUCAAGCAUGUGUUGAUUUAUCCACGGUUUAUCUUUUCUCAGUCGGUUUGUAAACAGUCUGGAAUUUGUUGUAAUGCAAGUUUGUAAAAUCGAUUUAAAAUGUUUCCAUUGUUCUUCCGCAUUUAGUGAAUCUAAACCAUUCCAGUCGUAAGUCAAGAGACUUUCGUCUAUGCGAGUGUAGUCAACAAUUGAUGUUGUUUUAAUUCUUGCAUUUGGCUCUGAAUAUAUCAUAAUUUGUAACUCAA